ensembl:lncRNA
GCCGGCCCCCGGCGGCGGUCGCCGCGGGGUCGAGGUGGGCGCGCGGCUGGGCCUGGGAGGCGCGGCCUGGCACAGCGCCACCGCGCGCCGGGGACCCGGCGGGGACUGCGAGUGACGGCACAGCCUCCGGCCUGGCGCGGAGCUCCAUUCGGUCCCUGCCAGCAGCCGGCUGUGCUGUCGGCCCCGGGGCGCGCUCCAGAAGCAGAAAGUUCCAGGGCCACCCAGAUGCUCCCGGGGCUCCUCGGACUUGGUCUCUCCGCUGUCCCGAGGGCCCCGGAGACCCCUUCCAGUCCUCAGCCCCUCGGUGUGCCGAGCCUGGUCCGCGCACCCCUGGGCCCGCGCUGUCAGGUCCUCGAACCGUGCUUGACGUUGCCCUUGACCCAUGGCAGAGCUAGAGCCACGAAGGAUUCGGUUUUGGCGACAUCUCAGAGAUCGUCCAAUGCUUUCAAAAGGGCAGCUGGGCAACCCACAGCGGUUACGCGACUUGCUCGGCGUCCUGGAAGUUCAAGAUGGGGAAACUGAGGCUUGGAAAGCUUAACAUCAUCUGUCCAAAGGCCACCCAAGUUGAAGCCGCUCUUGGGGAAUUCAGACCAUUUCUGCUGUUCAGGGCCACGUGAGGGUCCCCAGAUUCCUCAACAGUGAUGCUGCCUUCACACCUUCUUUUGUACUUUUCCCACCACUUCUGGAAACGCACUUAAAUAAGCUGGAGCUGCACCGAGACUUUAUCAGAAGAAAGAGGAGCAGCUCGUGGAGCAUAAGGGAUCACAGGCGAGAUUGGAACGGGACGCUGUAAAGCCUGGAACUGGACUCGGUAAGGACUGGAACUGGAUGCUGUAAAGGCUUGAACUGGACGCUAUAAAGCCUGGAACUGGACUCUCUAAAGCUAUCAGCAACCGAAGCAUCUACUCGUUCUGUCUCUUACUGCGAGAUGUAGAGUUUCUGCUGAUUAUCCUCAUCUAUCACAUCAGCUAUGUUGCAUCACGUCUCUUCCCCUGUUAAACAUCCCAGUGCACCACUGCAGAAAAUUUAACCCGUUAGACUACUGUCUUGCACCGGGAGCUGUCUCCACCUACUACUGAUGAUGGGGUCCUCAUCACCAGCGGGACAAGUGGGUGUGCCAGCCCCCAAACUCCAUUGUUUCACCUGCUGUCUCAGCACAUUCCUGCUCCUAACUCUUGCAGACUGGGUGCCUUGGAAAAGUCUCUGAGAUGGGGAUUCAGCAAGUACAGUGUUUGUUCGGGAGUGCCCUGGAGAGCCAUGCCUGAGGAAGGGAGAGAAAGCAGCAGAAUGGGACAGAGAGAGAAACUGAGCUGCGCUUUAGGUCCAACAAGAGCCCCGGAAGACCCCACUGAGACCCCUGGAACUACACUGAUCCUUAGUGUGGUCCUGAGUUGGGCCAAAAUGGCCAGACCUUUAUACUUUUCAAUCGAUCAGUCAUUUCACGUGCACUGCUCAAGGAAGGGAUGAGCAAGACAGCUCUCUGCAGCUAACAUGACCCCGGAAGGGUCUGACGGUGGAAGGCUGUCUGCCAGCAGCAUUCCCAGCAGCUGGGGCAAUGAGUCUUGCCUUGAAGGCAUCUAGGAGCAGCAACUCAGUGUUCAUCACUUCUUCACUGGCUCUUCAGCUAAUCUAUUUUCAUUAUUCUUCUAGGUCUUCUCAUAGGGAUUAAAUAUGAAUCCUUAGUUUAUCACAGUCUACUCAGAGUUAACAUUAUAUCACUUCUCAGAAAAUAUAAUAACCUUGUAACAAUAUAUUUCCAUUUAUCACCAUCCUUAGUUCUAUUGUUGUCAUGUAUAUUACUUGACUUACUUUAUAAACCCCCAAUACAGAGUUAAAGUGUUAUGUCUUUUAAAGAAAUUAAGAGAAUAAAAAAACUAUGUAAUCUUUUGUAUUUGCCUACAUAUUUACUAUUCCUGGUGCUCACUCUUUUUUUUUUCUUUCUUUCUUUCCUUCUCUCUCUCUCUCCUUCUUUCUCUCUCUGUCUCUUUCUCUCUUUCUUUCUCUUCCUUUCUUUCUUGCUCUUUCUCUCUCUCUUUCGUUCCCUUUCUUUUUCUUUCUUUCUUUCUUUUUU